rnacentral:rRNA from 1 species
AGGAUGAACGCUGGCGGCGUGCCUAACACAUGCAAGUCGAACGUCCUGUCUCGCAAGAGGCAGGGAGUGGCGGACGGGUGAGUACCACGUGGGUCAUCUACCGUGAGGUGAGGAAUACCGGCGAGAAAUCGCCGACAAGACCGCAUAGGCUCGAUGCAAGUCGAGCAAAGCUCUUUCGAGAGAGGGAGCGCCACACGAGGAGCCUGCGCCCGAUUAGCUAGCUGGUGGAGUAACGGUUCACCAGGGCGACGAUCGGUAGCUGGUCUGAGAGGACGAUCAGCCACACUGGGAUUGAGAACGGCCCAGACUCCUACGGGGGGCAGCAGUGAGGAAUUUUCGUCAAUGGGGGCAACCCUGAACGAGCAACGCCGCGUGCAGGAGAAGGUUUUCGGAUCGUAAACUGCUUUUCUCGGGGAAGAGAAUGGACGGUACCCGAGGAAUCAGCCCCGGCUAACUACGCGCCAGCAGCCGCGGU